rnacentral:SRP_RNA from 1 species
UUGGUGCCGUCCAGGGGAAGAGCGGAUGCGGAGAGGGAGGGCCCCCGCAGUGACGUCGUCAGCGAGUUGUGAGCGCGCGCC